rnacentral:rRNA from 1 species
ACAGAGGGUGCAAGCGUUAAUCGGAAUUACUGGGCGUAAAGCGUGCGUAGACGGUUAUGUAAGUCGGAUGUGAAAUCCCCGGGCUCAACCUGGGAACUGCAUCUGUGACUGCAUAGCUAGAGUACGGUAGAGGGGGAUGGAAUUCCGCGUGUAGCAGUGAAAUGCGUAGAUAUGCGGAGGAACACCGAUGGUGAAGGCAAUCCCCUGGACCUGUACUGACGCUCAUGCACGAAAGCGUGGGGAGCAAACAGGA